AACCCCUGUGGUGGACUGCAAUAGAACCUGAAACCCUGCACUUACAAGCUGUGGAAGCACAUUUCUUGUGUGACCGCGUACUUUUUGUAGAACGGGCCAACGAGUUACGUUAAGUAGCAAGGUUAAGCACUUAAGGUGUGGGGCCGUAGCGAAAGCGAGUUUUAACUGAGCGUUCAGUUACUUGACGUAGACCCGAAACCGGGCGACCUACCCAGGAGCAGGAUGAAGCGAAAGUAAAAGUUCGUGGAGGUCCGAACCCACGAGCGUUGAAAAGCUCGGGGAUGACUUGUGGGUAGCGGUGAAAUUCCAAUCGAGCCCGGAGAUAGCUGGUUCUCCCCGAAAUAGCUUUAGGGCUAGCCUCAAGGUGAGAGAUACGGAGGUAGAGCACUG
rnacentral:rRNA from 1 species